rnacentral:rRNA from 1 species
GACGAACGCUGGCGGCGUGCUUAACACAUGCAAGUCGAACGGAAAGGCCCUGCUUUUGUGGGGUGCUCGAGUGGCGAACGGGUGAGUAACACGUGAGUAACCUGCCCUUGACUUUGGGAUAACUUCAGGAAACUGGGGCUAAUACCGGAUAGGAGCUCCUGCUGCAUGGUGGGGGUUGGAAAGUUUCGGCGGUUGGGGAUGGACUCGCGGCUUAUCAGCUUGUUGGUGGGGUAGUGGCUUACCAAGGCUUUGACGGGUAGCCGGCCUGAGAGGGUGACCGGCCAAAUUGGGACUGGGAUACGGCCCAGACUCCUACGGGAGGCAGCAGGGGGGAAAAUUGCACAAGGGGCGGAAGCCUGAUGCAGAAACGCCGCGGGCGGGAUGACGGCCUUCGGGUUGUAAACCGCUUUCGCCUGUGACGAAGCGUGAGUGACGGUAAUGGGAAAAGAAGCACCGGCUAACUACGU